UACGUAGGUGGCAAGCGUUGUCCGGAUUUAUUGGGUUUAAAGGGUGCGUAGGCGGCCUUGUAAGUCAGUAGUGAAAUAUCUCAGCUCAACUGAGAGGGUGCUAUUGAUACUGCAGGGCUAGAGUACAGAUGAGGUAGGCGGAAUUGACGGUGUAGCGGUGAAAUGCAUAGAUAUCGUCAAGAACACCGAUAGCGAAGGCAGCUUACUAAGCUGUAACUGACGCUGAGGCACGAAAGUGUGGGGAUCAAACAGGAUUAGAUACCCCCGUAGUCC
rnacentral:rRNA from 1 species